rnacentral:rRNA from 1 species
GACGAACGCUGGCGGCGUGCCUAAUACAUGCAAGUCGAGCGCAGGAAACUGACGGAACUCUUCGGAGGGAAGGCAGCGGAAUGAGCGGCGGACGGGUGAGUAACACGUAAGGAACCUGCCUCAAGGAUUGGGAUAACUCCGAGAAAUCGGAGCUAAUACCGGAUAGUUCAUCGGACCGCAUGGUCCGUUGAUGAAAGGCGCUCCGGCGUCACCUUGAGAUGGCCUUGCGGUGCAUUAGCUAGUUGGUGGGGUAACGGCCCACCAAGGCGACGGUGGAUAGCCGACGUGGGAGUGUGAUCGGCCACACUGGGAAUGAGACACGGCCCAGACUCCUACGGGAGGCAGCAGUAGGGAAUCUUCCACAAUGGACGAAAGUCUGAUGGAGCAACGCCGCGUGAGUGAUGAAGGUUUUCGGAUCGUAAAACUCUGUUGUAAGGGAAGAACACGUACGAGAGGGAAUGCUCGUACCUUGACGGUACCUUACGAGAAAGCCACGGCUAACUACGUGCCAGCCGCCGCAGUAACAC